rnacentral:rRNA from 1 species
GAUGAACGCUGGCGGCGUGCUUAACACAUGCAAGUCGAACGAUGAAGCCCAGCUUGCUGGGUGGAUUAGUGGCGAACGGGUGAGUAACACGUGAGUAACCUGCCCUUAACUCUGGGAUAAGCCUGGGAAACUGGGUCUAAUACCGGAUAGGAGCGCCUACCGCAUGGUGGGUGUUGGAUAGAUUUAGCGGUUUUGGAUGGAUUCGCGGCCUAUCAGCUUGUUGGUGAGGUAAUGGCUCACCAAGGCGACGCCGGGUAGCCGGCCUGAGAGGGUGGACGGCCACACUGGGACUGAGACACGGCCCAGACUCCUACGGGAGGCAGCAGUGGGGAAUAUUGCACAAUGAGCGAAAGCCUGAUGCAGCGACGCCGCGUGAGGGAUAACGGCCUUCGGGUUGUGAACCUCUUUCAGUAGAGAAGAAGCGAAAGUGACGGUACCUGCAGAAGAAGCACCGGCUAACUACGUG